rnacentral:rRNA from 1 species
CCCUGCGGAGGGAUCAUUA